UCAGGAAGGCAGAGAGGAGCACAGCUGCUCAUUCCUAUCUGUGAUCUCUGCUGCAUUCCCUGUCCUGCAUCCCUACAAGCUAGCUCUCCUGUGGGUAGCAAGGCAUGCCUCCACCACAGCAGUCUCCUGAAGCCUUGGUGUGCUCCCCCAGCCAAGCCCUGGGUUGGUUCCCAGGGGACUGCAGUGCCAAAUGUACACAAGGGAUACUGAGCAAACCCUGCCUUUCCCUAAAGCUUUGUGUUGUGCUGCAUAACUUUAGAGUGCUUUCCCCUAGCAUAUGAAAUGGGUGUGUGGGGUAGCCAUGGUGGAGGUCAUGCUGCUCCCAUCAUGUUUCACAGGGAAUUCCAGAAGCAGGCCUUCCUUUUCUUUUGCCAUGUGCAAUUCCCGGGGAGCAUGGAGGAGGAGCUCAGUGUCUUGAGGGCUGCUUGGGCCCAGAUUUUAAACACUGCUUUAGGCAUUCAGGUUGGAUACUACCAUGCCUAAAAUGUAGGUGCUGUACCCCAAAGACUAUGAUGCUUGUUAUCCUGCCUAGGCACCUCAUCUCCCUGCUGUACAGUUGGGCACUUAUGCAGGCUGAGAGCUGAAGAGCUGUCCUGAGGUGGGUGGAAACGUGCUUUCUUGAGAUGGGGUGUUACGACCCACUCCAGAAGGCAAGGGUAACCCAGGUUCUUGUUAAUAGAUCCCGUGAGGCAGAUUAGAGUGAAAUGGCACUGAAUGGUGUUUGUACAGCCAUAUAUAUUUUUAGGGUUUAUUUUAGAACAAUUUGGUUGCAAUAGAAGGCAGGUAUGUAGCCAUUUUAGUUGUUAUUA